rnacentral:rRNA from 1 species
GGCUCAGAACGAACGCUGGCGGCGUGCUUAACACAUGCAAGUCGAACGCGAAAGGGACUUCGGUCCUGAGUAAAGUGGCGCACGGGUGAGUAACGCGUAGAUAACCUGUCUUCAUGUCUGGAAUAAUACGCCGAAAGGGGUACUAAUACCGGAUAUUCUUGCUUUUCAUAAGUUAUGCAAGCAAAGGUGGCCUCUGCAUAUGCUACUGCAUGAAGAGGGGUCUGCGUACCAUUAGCUAGUAGGUGGGGUAAUGGCCUACCUAGGCGACGAUGGUUAGCGGGUCUGAGAGGAUGAUCCGCCACACUGGCACUGGAACACGGGCCAGACUCCUACGGGAGGCAGCAGUGAGGAAUAUUGCGCAAUGGGGGAAACCCUGACGCAGCGACGCCGCGUGAAGUGAGGAAGGCCUUCGGGUCGUAAAGCUCUGUCAAGAGGAAAGAAGUGUACAAUGGCUAAUACCUGUUGUAUUUGACGGUACCUCUAAAGGAAGCACCGGCUAACUCCGUGCCAGCCGCUGC